rnacentral:tRNA from 2 species
GAGCUUAUAGUUUAAUAGGUUAGAACACGUUGCUCAUAACAACGCAGUUGUAGGUUCGAGUCCUACUAAGCUCA